AUGGGAGGCUGUGAGACACACAGAGGAAGGUGCUUUUCAGGACCCAUCAGCCACAGCUGCACUGGAACAGUGAAAUAGCAGGAUGCAGAGAGGCCGUGGUCUGCCUCAUAAGUAAGCUGGCUCCACGAAGUCAAGUUUAAGCAAAAUCCAAGAGUUAAUACUGCUGCCUGGAAUGGGUUACUCACUGUUUACUCUAGUAGCACAGGGAUCUUCUGCAAGGUGCAGGGACACCAGUGGUGCUUUCUUCCCCUUCUGUUCUUGUGCUCUUCCUUGUGUUCUUUGUGAAAUCCUGCAGAAAGGCUUGUGCUUGGCUGGAGAGGUCUGCUCAGGCCAGGAUUGAAAAGCUGUUUGCUGCAGCACUUGGUUUUCCCCAGCUCCAUUCUGCCUUUCCCUGGCUUUUUUUCUUCUGCAUAGCUAUGCCCUCUGGUCUGCCCAUUUCCAUCGGAUGGCUUUCUGUGUGGGGGUAUUCUUCCCUUUCUCUCCCUUCAGUGUUUCUCUGGCAAAAUCAAACUGUAACUCUUGGAGAAGGGGGAUCCCUGUUCCUAUGCCGUUGUAUAACCCAGAACUGGAGAUGGACAGCGGGGCUGGGGGACAGCUGUCUGACUCCCCCCGUCCUGCGACAGACACAGGGCCUGGCUACAGUGGGAGCUGAGUUCACAUUCCAUGCUCCAUCUCUGUCACUUUUGCCAUCCAGAGCAAUUGCCAGGCUCUGAAACACAGGUAGGCUUCAAAUGACAGGUUUCCAGCCCAGACUGGUGAUCUGCCCCCUGGGCAGUGUGUGGGAGUUGUGACUGUGGGCUGGCACUGAGGGGUCUGGACUGAGCUCACCACCUGGGGACCAGCCUGUGCCUGCAGAGGCAGCUCACCCUCCUGAGAGAGGAGCUUCCUUCCCAGAGACUGGAACCCUCCAGGCAUGUCCUUUUUGCUAGUGGAGGACUCCUGCCAGGACAGAGAAUUACUGAUCAUAGUAAGAGCAUUUUCAGUGGUUUUCAGUUUGUUUGGAAAGGCUGCAGUACAAGUGGAGGCUUGUGCCAAGUUUUAGCCUAGUUGUAAUGCCAUUUAUUACUCUUGCACAAUCACUCCACCUCCACAUCCUUCUCACCUGGCUGCCUACCAAAUAUUAGCAACCUGGCUCAUCAUGAGUGAAACAGGUUCCUGAGAAAAAAAAGCUGGUGUGUUCCCAGUUCAGGAGAAGCUAGUUCCGAUACACUUUUUUUUCCAUCGCAGAAGUGCCCCAGGCUUAGAUUUUUUUGUUUCUCUUCUGAGCAGUGUUGGCUCCGUGGAAAUAUGCAGCUGUACAGAUCAGCUGUUGACAAAUUCUCAUCAAUCACAAGGUUUUUCAUUGCCUGUGGAAAACUAACAAUACCCACAAGACUAGUAUGGAGCAGGAGCUUGAGGAUGUGGAGUCAAGUUAUUGGGGGUAGGGACAAGUUAAUUUAGGACAGGGUCAGCUUUUUAAAUAACUUGCCUCUGCAUCUUGCUUUGUGACCCUGCAUCACCGAGGCAAGAUGCAAGGAUGUUCCAAGUGUUCAUCCACCGUGAGCUUUACCUAAGAAAAGCAGUUCUUUUAGGUGUUGCAGUGAUAGGGCCGAAGGAACAAAGGGUUAAGAGAAUCAAGUGAGGGGGUUGUGACUUCCAAAACUCUGUUCCCUAAGGUUUACCUCUGACUGUGGAAUUGUGUCAAAACUUCUUAGUGAAUAGAGGCUGAGAGGACAGUUUUUGUUCUCCUAGCCAAGUCUUUUCUGUAGAAAACCCCUUGGGGAACGUGACUUGUGCAGUUUGUGUUCUAGCCCUGACAGAGGUGCUUCUAAAGUGUGUAAUUUUGCAUGCAGUUGCUUUCACAAGACAUACAUGUUUUUUACUAAUAUUGGGGGAACUGUGCCUUUGCAAUGCCCAGGUACGUGUGGACAUGCACAAACACACACAUGGAUCAUGUCCCACCUCUGCAGAUUGCUGAGUACAAGGUCUGCCCCAGGCUCCCAUGUGAUGAUGUAUCAUGAUCUCACAUUACCCGGAAUUUUUUUUUCACCACUCUGCUGUGACUGAGCCAUGUUGUGCCAUCAGUGUCUCAUCAGCCCUUGCAGCCACGUCCACAGCUCUCAAGGCCCCUCCAACUGCGCCACAGUGACGAGGUCGGAAGCCAAGCAACAGCUCAGCAGGAACUUGCUGGCAAUCACAGCAGGGAGACCAGUGAACUGGGCUGGUUUGCAGCUGCAGGGCUGUCAUUUCUCAAAGCAGCUUGUUCUGAAGCAAAGGAAAAACAGUCAAGUGAGGAAGAGAGCACUUUCCAGGUACCUCACUAACACAACCACAGUUAAAGCUUGCUGAAUUGCCAUACCCUCAGAGUGUUUUCACAGUGUCUAAUAACAGCUGUCAGCAGCACCACUGGUUUGCUAAAUCCUGAAUGUUCUUAUUCCUUGUGACAAGCUGAGAAAGCAAUGUUGAGGGGAACUUUACAUCUCAAGGUGCUUUUCUCUAUUUGUCCCUUUUUCUGUCCUGCUUCCAACCUGUUCCUUCUAUGUCUUUCUGUAUGGAAAUUUCCAUACCAUUGGCUGUCUACCCCUCCACCAAGUCUACAAGAUGAAAGGGAAAAAAAAUAGGCUGCAGAAUGGGGAACUGGCUGCUGUGGCACAUUUAGCUGCAUGAGAGGAGAAGCAGCUUCUUUUUUAGCUCUUAGCCAGUAUACUCUCUAUAAAACUCUGACCAUCUGUGCGGGAGACCUAACUUCCUGUAUUCUGAAUGCAGAGUGGCAAUUGUCAUGGCAAAAGUUGUUGCAGUCACAGCCACAGCCUGUCUUUGGUAGAGAGAUGGCUGUGCUAGACCUGCUCCAGUCUGUGGAGUGUGACAGACAUCCUAAGGAGCUCCUGUCCCAGUUCAGUGAUGGAUCAGUUGCUUCCUUCAUCAUGCUCCAUUGUAUAAGAGCAGGGCAUUCAUAGCAGUGUGGUGUUCAUCCUCUGCUUGAAGUUUACUGAAUUGGUGACUAACACAUAGCACUGGGACUUUCCUGCUUGCUGCUGUUUCCCCAGCUCUUAGACAUGGGGAAAUUUGCCGUAAACUGAAGAGUUUGAGGUUGGCUGCUUUUCCCCAGCUCAGCUACUGUUGGUUUCACUUGCAGUGAGCCACCCACACAGCAGCAAGAGCUAUAAUGAGGUGAGAAAGCACUAGACUAUGUUCUGCGGGUAGAAUUUCCACACCUGGCUGAGGGUUAUAACUACUCCCCAGUUCUUGUCUUGAGGCUGUAGAGUUGCUGUGGGAACCAGGAACGCACUGGCCAUGGCUGGCCAUGGAGGCAGUGCCUGUGGUGAGUAGCCAGCUGAGGUCUGGAGGAGCUGGCUCAUACUGUGCUGCAAUUGCUGACCAGUGCAUGUGUCUGGCAAGCCCUGGGCUUGAAGGUUGUGCAGGGUCAGUUUGCUGCUGGGUAGUCUGCCCCCUCUGCUGCCUGGCUGAGGUGCUCCAGAAGCACAUAGUACACUCCUAUACGACAGGGGCAAUGAAGCCGUGAUGUGCCUUGUUUCCUUCACUAGAGCAGGAAUUAAGAUCCGCAGUUUGAUGUGUGCUGCCUAUUUCACAGCCUCAUUCUGAGCUGUGCUGGGCCCCUGCAACAAACCAUCUUGUCCAGAAGCGUCACGGGUUCUUCCCUCUCCUGUAUUGGGUUUGCAUAGCAAGAUUUUGUAGCAGAGGGGGCUACAGGGAUGGCUUUUCUGAGAAGUCACCACCUUCUCACCUUUUCUUCUAAAGACAAAAUAUAUUGCUGCCAGUGACAUGAGAAGUCACUAAUUGUGUCAGGACUGUGUGUUCUGUGGUUUAGGGAUGCAUGCAGCCAGCCAGCCAGCCAGCCAGCCAGCCAGCCAUCCCCUGCAGCUCACUGUGUGCCGUGUGAGCCGUUUGCUUUGCUUUAAAUGUGCUGCCACAGUCAGAGGUUGAAGACAGCUGGUGCGUUUCUCACCCUGUAAGAGGUGCCAAAAGCCACCCAAGGCACACUCUGCUGCUGCACCCAGCCCCAGGUGUGGAAGAGCUGCUGUGAAGCUUUGCAGCCAGGCAGCAUAGGUGGGACAUGCUGAUUUUUGACAGCUGUGGUAAACUAAAGCUCCAUGAGAUCCACGUGAGGCUCUUGCCAUAAAUAGCUGUGUGCCAGCAGCAGAGCUCUGGUCUUGGUGCAUCCUUACUUGCAGAGAUCUGGAGACAAAGCUGAUAGAUGUUGCCUCUAACGGGGUCGGGUUCUGCCAACCUACAUGAACAGAGCAGGGAGUUCUACCAGCUCUGCUGACUCAGGACAUCCAGUCAGAACCAACAUGAGGAACAAACGGUGGCUCCAGAAUAUUUCCUUCUUCCUUUUAUUCCAAUACACUGUGUGUUGUGAAAACCUCACUUGUUUUGUGGACUACAUACAGACCCUGUCCUGUAUCCUGAAAAAUGACCUGGGUGCUGGUUCAUACAACCUCACUGCAACAUGGAUUCCUGAGGAAGAUCCUGAAAAUACUGUGGCUGCGUGCAAUCUCCUGCAAUUGUCCAGGAACACCAGUCACACAGAGUACAUGUGCACUGUGGACAUGACUGAAUUCCUAGGAGACACCAAGGUCCAGGUGGAUGUUACAGAGGUAGCUGAUAGGCAGCAAGUGAUUUCCAAAGACUUUUAUUUGUCAGACAACAUCAAACCACAGCCUCCAUUCAACCUGACCACUUUGUUCUCAGAGGGUUACAAUAUUUCUUGGGAAACCACCUACCAGAAAUCUCCCUUCCACUUUUUGAAUGAGGAGCUGGAAUAUCAGCUGCGUUAUAAGAGAAGAACCGAUAGCUGGGAGACUCAGAAGACUAAAGCUGUUCAUGAAGGUAAACAGACACUGGUGAUCCUACCAUGGGAACUCCAAGUGAACACUGAGUACGAGUUCCAAGUGAGAGCCAGACCCCGCGAAGACAGUGGCUACCAUGGGGUUUGGAGUGAAUGGAGUCUUCCAGUGUCACUGAAAACCAGCCCUGCCGCAGUAACACAAACAGCAGGCAUGGGAUGGCUGCUGCUGUUUGGUGUUGUUGUGUCAAUCAUGGCUUCAGUCGCAACCUUUCUGGCCAAACAGCAGAGCUUUUGGAAGAAGAUGGCUUGCAUACCAGACCCUGCUCCCUUUUUCAAACCUCUUUACCUGGCACAUAAUGGAGAUUUCAAGAAGUGGGUUGGUGCAUCCCAUACAAAAAUGACCUUUGAUUUCUUUGAAUGGGGAAUAGUCCUUCCAGAAGUCCUAGAAGUUUACACCAUGCGUCCUUCUAACAGCACCUCACGGGAAGAGCUGCAUGAGCUGAGAAAGAAUCUGACUUGCAAGACCUGUGUGUCUUGCCUGACUGCCCCAGGCCACAAUAGCCAGUCCCUGUGGUCCAGUGUAAACAGCAGUGGUGGGACUGAGGAGCAGUCAUACGGGCACUUGUCCAUUGAUACGGUGACUGUGGCUGAUGAAUUUACAUCCUGUAACUGCCAGUGCAGCUGUAACCACGUGUACAGGGGACGUAAGCAUACCAAUGAGGAAGAUGAUAGUGCUGGAGGACCUGGUUACCCCAAGGUUAACAUUGAUGAGGAAGACAGAAAGAUAUCCCAUGACUUGCAUCUGGCUGAUCUGAGCACGCAGGACAAAAUACUUGCUUCAGGUUCCGUGUCCACAGACCACUUGAGGAGCACAAGUGUCCCAGUCCACCAGCAAGUAGAAAGGUCUUCAGAAGGAGGAGUGGGGAACAUCCUAGAAGCCCUUUGCUUGCAGCCUCUUCGGUGGGAUUUGGAAAAUCCAGGUUCUCUACCUUCUCCUGACGGUGACAGUGUUUCCUACAGUGAAGGCUCCUACGACUUCUUCCCUCACAGUACCAGGCCCGGUGACAGUUACCCUAUGAUCUGCGUUGAUUUGGACACUAUUGACAGUGGCUUUGUGGACUCAGACUGUGGAAGUCCACUUGAUUGUGAAUUUGGGCAAAACAGUCAGACCAACUGUGGGCCCAUCUCUCUUGAGCAGGAGGGGCAGGACUUUCCACGGAGCUACGUCAAGCAGUGGGUCUCCUGUCGCUCUGACAGCCCUGUCAGUGGGACACAGGCAAGCUGAGGGCUUGAUGUUGCUUGGCAGAGUGUGGGGCCUUUCCUUACUGUGCCAGGGGCAAAGUGUUAGCAAAAUUCAGAAGAGAAACAAAGUUUGCUUUGUGUAAGCUUCUUGCAUACAACUGAAAACUGUUAGGUCCACAGAAAUACGUGCCUAUUUCUGUUGCCACUUAUCCUAUUAAUGUCUCAAAUUUGUUAUGAUUGAUUGUUUCUGGGUUUGGUUGGUUGGUUGUUGUCUUUUUUAGAAUUCUAAGUACCUUGAAAAUUAUCCUUUGGGUUAUAUAGAUGUGCAAUUUUUUUACAGUAACCUUUUGAAGAGUACAGAACAUUAAAUUAUUUUCCCUGGUGUUCUCGCAUGACUUGGGAGUUUGGCUGUACAUGGACUCUUAGAAGCAUAACCCAUGGCAAGCAUGUUUGCUACAUUAAGGCUCCCCCAUCCUUUCCAAACAACAUGUGGUAUUACUUUUCCUACUAAUGCCUUUUGGCUCUUUAAACUCAGCUGUAGUAGUUUAUUAGUUAUGGAGGUCCCAGACCUGUCCAUGGGGUAUGAUCAAAGCCAAUUCUUAUUUAAUCACCACAGAAAUGUAUGUCCAAGAGAACAAGCACAACUCAGGUUUCAGAAAGACUGUGCCUUUCCAGGUGGGGUCUGUAAAUGAAAAGUCUUCAAAAUAUAUAAUUCCAGACAAACUCUUUCUACUAGGCUACUGAGUCAGCUUAUCUCCCAGCACUUUUCAAGCACAUUAAUUGAGCAGCUUUUAGAACUAUGCCAAAAUUUCAGAAAUGUCGUCCUAGCUGGAUGUGCCUGCAACUUCUGCCUUGGACUUGCUCUACUGCUGUUAACAGCCUAAUUGUCUUUAAAAGUGACUGCAAUACUGAAAGUGAAUGUGAAGACCUAACGUCUUAUGUAGGCAUAGUGCUGCUUGGCUGUAGGAGGUCCUAUCCUGAGAGAAUCUUUGUGGUGAAUGAUGUUUGCUUCCAGUGCAGUAAUAAUCUGUUGUUGCUGUGAUACCAAUAAACUCCCUUCCCUCUU